UUACGGCCGUAUCACUUUGAAACAUUUGUUCUCGUGCGAUCGCCGAAGUUAAGCAAUAUCGAGCCUGAUCAGUACCCAGAUGGGUGACCGCUUGAGAAUACCAGGUGCUGUAAU